rnacentral:rRNA from 1 species
AUUGAACGCUGGCGGCAUGCUUUACACAUGCAAGUCGAACGGUAACAGGCCGCAAGGUGCUGACGAGUGGCGAACGGGUGAGUAAUGCAUCGGAACGUGCCCAGUCGUGGGGGAUAACGCAGCGAAAGCUGUGCUAAUACCGCAUACGAUCUAGGGAGGAAGGUGGGGGACCGUAAGGCCUCGCGUGAUUGGAGCGGCGGGUGUCAGAUUAGCUAGUUGGUGGGGUAAAUGCCCACCAAGGCGACGAGCUGGAGCUGGGCUGAGAGGACGACCAGCCACACUGGGACUGAGACACGGCCCAGACUCCUACGGGAGGCAGCAGUGGGGAAUUUUGGACAAUGGGCGCAAGCCUGAUCCAGCAAUGCCGCGUGCAGGAAGAAGGCCUUCGGGUUGUAAACUGCUUUUGUACGGAACGAAACGGUCUGGGUUAAUACCUCGGGCUAAUGACGGUACCGUAAGAAUAAGCACCGGCUAACUCCGUGCCAGCCGCCGCUGUAA